rnacentral:rRNA from 1 species
GACGAACGCUGGCGGCGUGCUUAACACAUGCAAGUCGAACGAUGAAGCCGCUUCGGUGGUGGAUUAGUGGCGAACGGGUGAGUAACACGUGAGUAACCUGCCCCCCUCUUUGGGAUAACGUUCGGAAACGGACGCUAAUACUGGAUAUGACUGCGCCUCGCAUGGGGUGUGGUGGAAAGCUUUUGUGGUGGGGGAUGGGCUCGCGGCCUAUCAGCUUGUUGGUGGGGUGAUGGCCUACCAAGGCGACGACGGGUAGCCGGCCUGAGAGGGUGUCCGGCCACACUGGGACUGAGACACGGCCCAGACUCCUACGGGAGGCU